rnacentral:rRNA from 1 species
CCUACGGGUGGCAGCAGUGGGGAAUAUUGGGCAAUGGGCGCAAGCCUGACCCAGCAACGCCGCGUGAAGGAAGAAGGCUUUCGGGUUGUAAACUUCUUUUAAGAGGGAAGAGCAGAAGACGGUACCCCUUGAAUAAGCCACGGCUAACUACGUGCCAGCAGCCGCGGUAAUACGUAGGUGGCAAGCGUUGUCCGGAUUUACUGGGUGUAAAGGGCGUGUAGCCGGGGAGACAAGUCAGAUGUGAAAUCCCCGGGCUCAACCCGUGACCUGCAUUUGAAACUGUUGGUCUUGAGUAUCGGAGAGGCAGUCGGAAUUCCUAGUGUAGCGGUGAAAUGCGUAGAUAUUAGGAGGAACACCGGUGGCGAAGGCAGCCUGCUGGACUACAACUGACAGUGAGGCGCGAAAGCGUGGGGAUCAAACAGGAUUAGAUACCCGUGUAGUC